GCACCUGUAGCUCAGCUGGAUAGAGUAGUGCCCUCCGAAGGCAUUGGUCGGUGGUUCGAAUCCACUCAGGUGCG
rnacentral:tRNA from 1 species